GUGCUCACUUCAGCAGCACAUAUACUAAAAUUGGAAGGAUACAGAGAAGAUUUGCAUGGCCCUUGUGCAAGGAAGACACUCAAAUUCGUGAAGCGUUCCAUACUUUU
rnacentral:snRNA from 1 species